UGGAAUUUGCAAAUAUUCACGCUCUUUCAGCUCUGAGAGCUUUCUUCUCUCUUAAUAACGGAAAUUUGUUCUCGCCUUAGGAGUGGCACAGACGGAAUCCACGUGGCCGACGUGAGCCUUUAUUUAGAAUAAUUCCAGAUAAACAGCUCUGUGACCUGCUCUGGCAUCUGCAGAUGGAGUC
rnacentral:lncRNA from 13 species